UCACACUUCAUGCUUCUGAGCUCGGUAUCUGCCACUAACGUAUCAAGAUGAUCUCCCAGACUCAGCUUCUCUGGCUCCUUGUGCUCUGCAUUCAAGACUCCAGUGGGCAGAUCAUAAUGACUCAGACUCCAGAAUCCCUGGCGGUGUCUCCAGGAGACAGAGUCACCAUCAACUGCAAAGCCAGUUCCAAUAUUUAUGGCUACAUAGCCUGGUACCAACAGAAAUCAGGACAAGCUCCUAAGCUCCUUAUCUAUUAUGCUUCCACCCGUCCCUCUGGGAUCCCAGACCGGUUCAGUGGCAGUGGGUCUGGCACUGACUACACAUUCACUAUCAGCAGGUUUGAAGCUGAUGAUGCUGGAGAUUAUUACUGCCAGCAGCAUAGCAGCACCCCUCUCACACAGUGA